CCUACGGGAGGCAGCAGUGAGGAAUAUUGGUCAAUGGGCGAGAGCCUGAACCAGCCAAGUAGCGUGAAGGAUGACUGCCCUAUGGGUUGUAAACUUCUUUUAUAAAGGAAUAAAGUGAGGCACGUGUGCCUUUUUGUAUGUACUUUAUGAAUAAGGAUCGGCUAACUCCGUGCCAGCAGCCGCGGUAAUACGGAGGAUCCGAGCGUUAUCCGGAUUUAUUGGGUUUAAAGGGAGCGUAGGUGGGUUGUUAAGUCAGUUGUGAAAGUUUGCGGCUCAACCGUAAAAUUGCAAUUGAUACUGGCAGGCUUGAGUACGGUUGAGGUAGGCGGAAUUCGUGGUGUAGCGGUGAAAUGCUUAGAUAUCACGAAGAACUCCGAUUGCGAAGGCAGCUUACUAAACUGCGACUGACAUUGAUGCUCGAAAGUGUGGGUAUCAAACAGGAUUAGAGACCCGAGUAGUC
rnacentral:rRNA from 1 species